UACGUAGGGGGCUAGCGUUGUCCGGAAUCAUUGGGCGUAAGAGCGUGUAGGCGGCCCGGUAAGUCCGCUGUGAAAGUCGGGGGCUCAACCCUCGAAUGCCGGUGGAUACUGUCGGGCUAGAGUGCGGAAGAGGCGAGUGGAAUUCCUGGUGUAGCGGUGAAAUGCGCAGAUAUCAGGAAGAACACCGGUGGCGAAGGCGGCUCUCUGGGCCUGUUCUGACGCUGAGGAGCGAAAGCAUGGGGAGCGAACAGG
rnacentral:rRNA from 1 species